rnacentral:rRNA from 1 species
UCCUGACGGCUGGGCCGGCAGGACUUAACACAUUGUCAAGUUUCGAGCGGUAGCACAGGGGGAGCUUGCUCCCUGGGUGACGAGACGGCGGACGGACUGAGUAAUGUCUGGGAGACUGCCUGAUGGAGGGCCAGAACUACUCUGAAUCGGGCAGCUACUACCGCUUAACGUUUCAUGACCCCCGAGUGGGACCUUCGGGCCUGUUGCCAUCAUAUGUGCCCAGAUGGGAUUAGCUAGUAGGUGGGGUAAUGGCUCACCUAGGCCACGAUCCCUAGCUGGUCUCAGUGCAGCCAUGCCGCGUGUUGAAAGAAGGCCUUCGGGUUGUAAAGCACUUUCAGGCAGGAGGAAGGUGAUGAGCUUAAUAC